rnacentral:rRNA from 1 species
AGAGUUUGAUCCUGGCUCAGAACGAACGCUGGCGGCGUGCUUAACACAUGCAAGUCGAACGAGAACGGUUUUCUUCGGAGGACCUAUUAAAGUGGCGCACGGGUGAGUAACACGUAGAUAAUCUACCCAGGUGUUUGGAAUAACUGACCGAAAGGUUAGCUAAUACCGAAUACGUUCACAUCAUCGCAAGGUGGCGUGAAGAAAGAUGGCCUCUCCUUGGAAGCUAUCGCAUUUGGAUGAGUUUGCGUACCAUUAGCUAGUUGGUGGGGUAAAGGCCUACCAAGGCUACGAUGGUUAGCGGGUCUGAGAGGAUGAUCCGCCACACUGGAACUGGAACACGGACCAGACUCCUACGGGAGGCAGCAGUGAGGAAUUUUGCGCAAUGGGGGAAACCCUGACGCAGCGACGCCGCGUGGACGAUGAAGGCCUUCGGGUUGUAAAGUCCUGUCAGUAGGGAAGAAAUGUGUAUGUGUUAAUAUCACAUACAUUUGACGGUACCUACAAAGGAAGCACCGGCUAACUCCGUGCCAGCAGCCGCGGUAAUACGGAGGGUGCAAGCGUUGUUCGGAAUUACUGGGCGUAGAGGGCGCGUAGGCGGCCUGAUAAGUCAGAUGUGAAAGCCCACGGCUCAACCGUGGAAGGGCAUCUGAAACUAUCAAGCUUGAUUAUGGGAGAGGAAAGUGGAAUUCCCGGUGUAGAGGUGAAAUUCGUAGAUAUCGGGAGGAACACCAGUGGCGAAGGCGACUUUCUGGACCAAUACUGACGCUGAGGCGCGAAAGCGUGGGUAGCAAACAGGAUUAGAUACCCUGGUAGUCCACAGCUGUAAACGAUGUACACUAGGUGUUGGGGGUGUUGACCCCUCCAGCGCCGCAGCUAACGCAUUAAGUGUACCGCCUGGGGAGUACGGUCGCAAGAUUAAAACUCAAAGGAAUUGACGGGGGCCCGCACAAGCGGUGGAGUAUGUGGUUUAAUUCGAUGCAACGCGCAGAACCUUACCUAGUCUUGACAUCCCGAGAAUAUCUAAGAAAUUAGAAGGUGCUUCCUUACGGAAGAACUCGGUGACAGGUGCUGCAUGGCUGUCGUCAGCUCGUGUCGUGAGAUGUUGGGUUAAGUCCCGCAACGAGCGCAACCCACGUCUUUAGUUGCCAUCAUUAAGUUGGGCACUCUAGAGAGACUGCCGGUGUCAAACCGGAGGAAGGUGUGGAUGACGUCAAGUCC